rnacentral:rRNA from 1 species
AAUCAACGUUGGCGGCGCGCUUAACACAUGCAAGUCGAACGAGAAGUGGAGCAAUCCAUGAGUAAAGUGGCGUACGGGUGAGUAACACGUGGGUAUCCAUUCUUUGGUGGGGAAUAACUUUGGGAACCGAAGCUAAUACCGCAUAAGUCCGAGAGGAGAAAGGUGAAAAUCGCCGAAGAGGGAGCCCGCGGCUGAUUAGCUAGUUGGUGAGGUAACGGCCCACCAAGGCGAAGAUCGGUAGCCGGCCUGAGAGGGCGACACGGCCACACUGGCACUGAGACACGGGCCAGACUCCUACGGGAGGCAGCAGUGGGGAAUCUUGCACAAUGGGGCGAACCCUGAUGCAGCGACGCCGCGUGAACGA